rnacentral:rRNA from 1 species
GACGAACGCUGGCGGCGUGGAUUAGGCAUGUAAGUCGAACGGUAUGGACCUUUCGGGGUUCAGAGAGUGGCGAACGGGUGAGUAACACGUAGGUAAUCUACCCUCAAGACGGGGACAACCCAGGGAAACUUGGGCUAAUACCGGAUGUGUGUAGUGGCUAUUUUUCUGAUUAUCAUUAUUUACGUAAGUGAGUAAUAAUAAGAAGGGAAAGUGGUUAUUACAUAAAAGGUGGCGUAAGCUGCCGCUUGGGGAUGAGCCUGCGUCCUAUUAGUUAGUUGGUGAGGUAACGGCUUACCAAGGCGAUGAUAGGUAGGCGGCCUUAACGGGUGGUCGCCCACACUGGGAUUGAGAUACGGCCCAGACUCCUACGGGAGGCAGCAGUCGAGAAUAGUCUACAAUGGACGGAAGUCUGAUAGUGCGACGCCGCGUGAACGAAGAAUCCCUUCGGGGUGUAAAGUUCUUUUAUACGUGAGCAGUGUCCUUUAUAUUAAUAGUAUAAGGGGAGAGAUAUUAGCGUAUGAAUAAGCAACGGCUAA